rnacentral:rRNA from 1 species
GACGAACGCUGGCGGCGUGCUUAACACAUGCAAGUCGAACGGAAAGGCCCUGCUUUUGUGGGGUGCUCGAGUGGCGAACGGGUGAGUAACACGUGAGUAACCUGCCCGUGACUUUGGGAUAACUUCAGGAAACUGGGGCUAAUACCGGAUAGGAGCUCCUGCUGCAUGGUGGGGGUUGGAAAGUUUCGGCGGUUGGGGAUGGACUCGCGGCUUAUCAGCUUGUUGGUGGGGUAGUGGCUUACCAAGGCUUUGACGGGUAGCCGGCCUGAGAGGGUGACCGGCCACAUUGGGACUGAGAUACGGCCCAGACUCCUACGGGAGGCAGCAGUGGGGAAUAUUGCACAAUGGGCGGAAGCCUGAUGCAGCAGCGCCGCGUGCGGGAUGACGGCCUUCGGGUUGUAAACCGCUUUCGCCUGUGACGAAGCGUGAGUGACGGUAAUGGGUAAAGAAGCACCGGCUAACUACGUG